rnacentral:SRP_RNA from 1 species
GACCUGGACCUAUGCGGCUAUAACGCCUAAACCUUGUCAGGACCGGAAGGUAGCAGCAACACAGGAUGCUUGUAGUAGGCGUAGUCUCCGGGUCGCC